UUAGGUUAAGUUAUGAAGGGCGCACGGUGGAUGCCUUGGCACUAGGAGCCGAUGAAGGACGGCACUAACACCGAUAUGCUUCGGGGAGCUGUAAGUAAGCUUUGAUCCGGAGAUUUCCGAAUGGGGGAACCCACUGUUCGUAAUGGAACAGUAUCUUGACGUGAAUACAUAGCGUCAUGAUGGCAUACCCAGGGAACUGAAACAUCUAAGUACCUGGAGGAAGAGAAAGAAAAUAUUCGAUUCCCUGAGUAGCGGCGAGCGAAACGGGAAUAGCCCAAACCAAGAGGCUUGCCUCUUGGGGUUGUAGGACACUCUAUAUGGAGUUACAAAGGAAUGAAUUAGGCGAAGCGACCUGGAAAGGUCUGCCGCAGAGGGUAAAAGCCCCGUAGUCGAAAGUUCAUUCUCUCUUGAGUGUAUCCUGAGUACGGCGGAACACGUGAAAUUCCGUCGGAAUCCGGGAGGACCAUCUCCCAAGGCUAAAUACUCCCUA
rnacentral:rRNA from 1 species